GAUGAACGCUGGCGGCGUGCCUAAUACAUGCAAGUCGAGCGAACAGACGAGGAGCUUGCUCCUCUGACGUUAGCGGCGGACGGGUGAGUAACACGUGGAUAACCUACCUAUAAGACUGGGAUAACUUCGGGAAACCGGAGCUAAUACCGGAUAAUAUAUUGAACCGCAUGGUUCAAUAGUGAAAGACGGUUUUGCUGUCACUUAUAGAUGGAUCCGCGCCGCAUUAGCGAGUUGGUAAGGUAACGGCUUACCAAGGCAACGAUGCGUAGCCGACCUGAGAGGGUGAUCGGCCACCCUGGAACUGGGACACGGUCCAGACUCCUACGGGAGGCAGCAGUAGGGAAUCUUCCGCAAUGGGCGAAAGCUUGACGGAGCAACGCCGCGUGAGUGAUGAAGGUCUUCGGAUCGUAAAACUCUGUUAUUAGGGAAGAACAAAUGUGUAAGUAACUAUGCACGUCUUGACGGUACCUAAUCAGAAAGCCACGGCUAACUACGUG
rnacentral:rRNA from 1 species